GACGAACGCUGGCGGCGUGCUUAACACAUGCAAGUCGAACGGGGUGUUUAUUUCGGUAAACACCAAGUGGCGAACGGGUGAGUAACGCGUAAGCAAUCUACCUUCAAGAUGGGGACAACACUUCGAAAGGGGUGCUAAUACCGAAUGAAUGAGAGAUGACCGCAUGGAUAUUUCUCUAAAGGAGGCCUCUGAAAAUGCUUCCGCUUGAAGAUGAGCUUGCGUCUGAUUAGCCAGUUGGUGAGGUAACGGCCCACCAAGGCGACGAUCGGUAGCCGGACUGAGAGGUUGAACGGCCACAUUGGGACUGAGACACGGCCCAGACUCCUACGGGAGGCAGCAGUGGGGAAUAUUGCACAAUGGGGGAAACCCUGAUGCAGCGACGCCGCGUGGAGGAAGAAGGUCUUCGGAUUGUAAACUCCUGUUGUUGGGGAAAAAGAGGAUGGUACCCAACAAGGAAGUGACGGCUAACUACGUGCCAGCAGCCGCGGUAAAACGUAGGUCACGAGCGUUGUCCGGAAUUACUGGGUGUAAAGGGAGCGCAGGCGGGUAUGCGAGUUGGGAGUGAAAUACAUGGGCUCAACCCAUGAACUGCUCUCAAAACUGUGUAUCUUGAGUAGUGCAGAGGUAGGCGGAAUUCCCGGUGUAGCGGUGGAAUGCGUAGAUAUCGGGAGGAACACCAGUGGCGAAGGCGGCCCACUGGGCACCAACUGACGCUGAGGCUCGAAAGUGUGGGUAGCAAACAGGAUUAGAUACCCUGGUAGUCCACACCGUAAACGAUGAUUACUAGGUGUUGGAGGAUAGACCCCUUCAGUGCCGCAGUUAACACAAUAAGUAAUCCACCUGGGGAGUACGACCGCAAGGUUGAAACUCAAAGGAAUUGACGGGGGCCCGCACAAGCAGUGGAGUAUGUGGUUUAAUUCGACGCAACGCGAAGAACCUUACCAAGUCUUGACAUCCUGCGGCGAGUACAGAAAUGUGCUUUUCCUUCGGGACGCAGAGACAGGUGGUGCAUGGUUGUCGUCAGCUCGUGUCGUGAGAUGUUGGGUUAAGUCCCGCAACGAGCGCAACCCUUAUGGAUAGUUACUACGCAAGAGGACUCUAUUCAGACUGCCGUUGACAAAACGGAGGAAGGUGGGGAUGACGUCAAAUCAUCAUGCCCUUUAUGACUUGGGCUACACACGUACUACAAUGGCGUUCAACAAAGAGAAGCGAAACCGCGAGGUGGAGCAAAACUCAAAAACAACGUCCCAGUUCAGAUUGCAGGCUGCAACUCGCCUGCAUGAAGUCGGAAUUGCUAGUAAUCGCAGAUCAGCAUGCUGCGGUGAAUACGUUCCCGGGCCUUGUACACACCGCCCGUCACACCAUGGAAGUCGGUAACACCCGAAGCCUGUAGCCUAACCUUUUUGGAGGGCGCAGUCGAAGGUGGGAUCGAUGACUGGGGU
rnacentral:rRNA from 1 species